rnacentral:tRNA from 6 species
GGAGAGUUGGCCGAGUGGUUUAAGGCGCAUGUUUCGAAAGCAUGAUUACAAGUAAUUGUAACAGGGGUUCGAAUCCCUUAUUCUCCG